rnacentral:rRNA from 1 species
CCCCCAGUAGCGGCGAGCGAACGGGGAGGAGCCCAGAGCCUGAAUCAGUGUGUGUGUUAGUGGAAGCGUCUGGAAAGGCGUGCGAUACAGGGUGACAGCCCCGUACACAAAAAUGCACAUAUUGUGAGCUCGAUGAGUAGGGCGGGACACGUGGUAUCCUGUCUGAAUAUGGGGGGACCAUCCUCCAAGGCUAAAUACUCCUGACUGACCGAUAGUGAACCAGUACCGUGAGGGAAAGGCGAAAAGAACCCCGGCGAGGGGAGUGAAAAAGAACCUGAAACCGUGUACGUACAAGCAGUGGGAGCCUCUUAAUGGGGUGACUGCGUACCUUUUGUAUAAUGGGUCAGCGACUUAUAUUCUGUAGCAAGGUUAACCGAAUAGGGGAGCCGAAGGGAAACCGAGUCUUAACUGGGCGUUAAGUUGCAGGGUAUAGACCCGAAACCCGGUGAUCUAGCCAUGGGCAGGUUGAAGGUUGGGUAACACUAACUGGAGGACCGAACCGACUAAUGUUGAAAAAUUAGCGGAUGACUUGUGGCUGGGGGUGAAAGGCCAAUCAAACCGGGAGAUAGCUGGUUCUCCCCGAAAGCUAUUUAGGUAGCGCCUCGUGAAUUCAUCUCCGGGGGUAGAGCACUGUUUCGGCAAGGGGGUCAUCCCGACUUACCAACCCGAUGCAAACUGCGAAUACCGGAGAAUGUUAUCACGGGAGACACACGGCGGGUGCUAACGUCCGUCGUGAAGAGGGAAACAACCCAGACCGCCAGCUAAGGUCCCAAAGUCAUGGUUAAGUGGGAAACGAUGUGGGAAGGCCCAGACAGCCAGGAUGUUGGCUUAGAAGCAGCCAUCAUUUAAAGAAAGCGUAAUAGCUCACUGGUCGAGUCGGCCUGCGCGGAAGAUGUAACGGGGCUAAACCAUGCACCGAAGCUGCGGCAGCGACACUAUGUGUUGUUGGGUAGGGGAGCGUUCUGUAAGCCUGUGAAGGUGGCCUGUGAGGGUUGCUGGAGGUAUCAGAAGUGCGAAUGCUGACAUAAGUAACGAUAAAGCGGGUGAAAAGCCCGCUCGCCGGAAGACCAAGGGUUCCUGUCCAACGUUAAUCGGGGCAGGGUGAGUCGACCCCUAAGGCGAGGCCGAAAGGCGUAGUCGAUGGGAAACAGGUUAAUAUUCCUGUACUUGGUGUUACUGCGAAGGGGGGACGGAGAAGGCUAUGUUGGCCGGGCGACGGUUGUCCCGGUUUAAGCGUGUAGGCUGGUUUUCCAGGCAAAUCCGGAAAACCAAGGCUGAGGCGUGAUGACGAGGCACUACGGUGCUGAAGC